CUACGGGGGGCUGCAGUCGAGGAAAUUUUACAAUGCUCGCAAGAGUGAUAAAAUGAGCCAAAGUGUUUCUCUUAGAGAAACUUUUAUUUGAUGUAAAAAGUCAGAUGAAUAAGGACUGGGCAAGACCGGUGCCAGCCGCCGCGGUAAUACCGGCGGUCCAAGUCGCAUCCACAUUUAUUGGGUCUAAAACAUUCGUAGCUUGUUUUGUAAGUCUCCUGUGAAAUCUGACACCUUAAGUGUCAGGCGUGCAGGAGAUACUACAUUGCUAGAGACCGGAAGAUGCAAAGAGUAUGGUUGAGGUAGUGGUAGAAUACGUUAAUCUCAAUUAGACUAACAAUGGCGAAGGCACUUUGCAAGUACGGAUCUGACGGUGAGGAAUGAAGGCUAGGGGCGCAAAAGGGAUUAGAUACCCGCGUAGUC
rnacentral:rRNA from 1 species